AGAGUUUGAUCCUGGCUCAGGAUGAACGCUAGCGGCAGGCCUAAUACAUGCAAGUCGAACGGUGGCAGCAAUGUCAUAGUGGCGCACGGGUGCGUAACACGUAACUAACCUACCUAUAACUGGGGGAUAGCCCGCCGAAAGGCGGAUUAAUACCGCAUAAGCUGCUUGGGUGGCAUCACCUGAAUAGUAAAGAUUUAUUGGUUAUAGAUGGGGUUGCGGGUCAUUAGCUAGUUGGUAAGGUAACGGCUUACCAAGGCGACGAUGACUAGGGGAGCUGAGAGGCUGGUCCCCCACACGGGCACUGAGAUACGGGCCCGACUCCUACGGGAGGCAGCAGUAGGGAAUAUUGGGCAAUGGGCGAGAGCCUGACCCAGCCAUGCCGCGUGCAGGAAGAAGGCUUUCUGAGUCGUAAACUGCUUUUGACAGGGAAGAAUAAGCACUACGUGUAGUGCGAUGACGGUACCUGCAGAAUAAGCACCGGCUAACUCCGUG
rnacentral:rRNA from 1 species